ACCGACUGUAACAACUUUGCUAUCGCAUUUGUUGGUUAUUAAGAAAUUUAAAAAGCAGUUGUAAAUUGUUUGUUGUGUUUUAGUUUUUGUAAUUUAGGGUUUCCAGUGAAUUUAGCGAUUUAGGGUUACCUGUAUUGUUCAUUUGUUUAAUUGGGAAAAAUUUUAGUGGGCGUGGUUCUAAAACCCUUAAUUGGAAUGAAUUUGUUGUUAUGAUGUUUUAGUUUAUGUGAUUUACGGUUAUCCAGUGAAAAUAGCGAAUUAGGGUUUCCUUUGUUGUUCAUUUUUAUAAUUGGGAUUAAUUUGAGGAUGUGAAACCCGUAAUUGGAAUGAAUUUGUUGUUAUGAUGAAGAUAAUGUAAUGCGUUAUUAACCACUGAAAUUUGCGACCCUUUGUUGUUUAAUUGUAAUGAACAAGCGAAAUUGUUUUGGGUGUGGUGGUAGGAGUGUUGAAUUAAAGUAUUUAAUUUAAUUUGAAUCCAUGUAAAUGAGUAAUUAAUUUUGAGUGGUUUGUGGUGGAAAACGUAUUGAAUUAUGAAUAAGUGAUAUUGUUACAUUAAGAAAUUAUGACUGUUGUGGUAUGUAUAUGUGAAUAUAGUGGAGAAAUUAUAUGUGAAGAGUUAAGGGUUUGUUGAAAUGGUUUUAUGUAGUUGGGAAAUCCCAUUUAUCGAGCGUUCAUUUAAACUUGGCUGGAGGAAAUAAUGCCGAGGAAGAGCAAGCGAUCAGGAUUGGCGCGGUCGAAAAUCGUGAAUGAGGAGGCGCCUAAAAAGAAAGUAGCUAGUAAAGGGAAGAAGAAACUGAAAUCUAAUCCAGUUUUUGAGGAAGAGUAUUUAAAGGACUCUGAUGAAGCUAGUUCUGAUGAUGGUGGUUAUGAUGAAUCUGGUGGUGAUGAAUCUGGUUAUGAUGAUGCUGAUUCCACAUAUGGUGAUUAUGAGGUAGAUGAGGAUGUGGAGGACGACGGUGAAGGUAGUGAGGAAGGAUCUGAAUAGGACAAAGUGAGCUACCAGGAUCUCCUAAUCAAGUUAUUGCGGGAAAAGGUUGAGAAAGGGAAGCGCAAUCGAGGUCAUAUUGAGAAAAAUACAGGGAAAAAGGGGCAAGCUAAAGGUCGAGAAGACGAAGGGAGAAGUGGCGAAGGAGAAAGGGGUUGUCGUUAAAACCCAAUCAAGAAGUACGCAGAAGGCCCCAAAUUUGCAUGGUGUGAAGGCUUUUGCAACUACAAUGAAGAAGUUUGAUGACUCUAGGGAGAAGCUGGUCACAAAAUUGGGUUUUGGAGGGUUGUUAAGUAUACCCCUAACUUUUGUACCCCGGAAGUUUGUGUACUGGUUGUUGACAAGGGUGAUGGGUUAUGGUUCGAUAACUUUUGGAGAUGAGUGUGUGCUUCCUUUGAGUCCUCUUCAGGUCGAGUACGUACUUGGGAUUCCCAUGGGGUCGAAGGCAUUGUCGUGUACGAUUCCUAAGGAUAAGCAGGCAGAGCAUAGUAGAAUUUUGGAAAAGUUUGGGAAAAAUGAUAGCAUUUCAUUAGUAGCUGCUUUGGGGGCACUAAUUCGAAAGGAUGAGGAAGGUAAUGUGUUGUCACUGUCGAAUGAAGAGAAGGCUGAUUUCAAGAUAGCCUUUCUCAUAGCAGCUCUGGGCUACUUAUUGUGUGCUACGGAAAAUACAAGCUAUCUUGGGGUGAAGCUUGUACCGUCGUAAUUGGUUUACGAUGAAGAUGAUGAGUAUGACUGGUGCACUUAUAUAUUUAACUGGAUGGUUGUAGCAGCCAGGAGUUUCCAAAAGAAAUUUGCUCGUGAUGGAUAUGUUGCAGGUUCUGGGGGUUGUAUCCUUUUUUUGUUGGUGAGUAAAAUUGGGUAUUUACCACCGUACACCAAAUGCUUUUUGAGUAAUUUUAUUAUAUUUUGCAGUCUUAUCAUUUGUAAUGGUUAGUUGAACUAAAUCAUCCAUCCAGUGCAUUUUUGUAGAUUUUUUUUAUCUAGAUCACCUCAGUCGUGUCCCAAUGAGGUGGGGUGUGAGACCGCGACUUGAGGCAUGGUCUGAAGAAAAGAUCAAUGAGGCGGUUGGCGAUGAUAAAAAAGAAUCUGGGGAUUUUGGAAAACUGCCAGUUAGUAUUAGUUUGACUUUCAUUUGAUGUGAAUACUAUUGAAGCUGUUGUGUUUGAUUCUUCUGCAGUCUCCAGAUAUAGCAUAUGGGGAGGAGCAUCCGUUGACUCCUUUGGAGGUUCCAAAGCAAAGGGUGGAAAGAGUUGACAUGCAACAGACUACGCAGGAGGUAGACGUGGAAAAUAUUACGCGGCAGGUGUUGGAUAGAAUUACUCCAGAGCUGAUGUCUGUGAUAGACUUAAAAUUAGGUGACAUUAUGAAAUCAAUGCAUCAGUUGAUGUCACAGUGUGUUGACGUAGCUAAUGCCCAGAGAGUGAUUAGGGGGAAGCCAAUGGAGAGGGGUAAGCCAAUGGAGAAGGAAGUUGUUGUGCAUGAGAACUUGUCUGGUGAAAAAGCAUGAUGCUUUGAAUGGUGCUAAUCAGGAUUUGGCCAGUUGUUUGUUGGAGAAGGAACAACUGGAACAAGGUGGGGAAGGACUUGGUGAAGAUCCUUCUACUGAUACAGUUUCAGUUGAAGAUAACUUGGAAUUUUUAGUUCAAAAGAUUGCGGCUGAUCCACUAUUUGCAGAGGAUGGAGUGAGGUCAAGGUGGUUGGGGAUGAAUCCAAGGUGGAUGGGGUUGUCGAUGAAGGUGUUGUCCCAGAGUUCCAUAGCUGUUCUGAUACUGAAGUGGAAGAUGAGAACAUUGAGCCUGGACCUCAAAUAGUUGUGGGCUUGGUUGGGACGAGGGAAAUUACUGUGUUUAUUGAUGCUGAGUGCAGUUUGGCAAAUUCAUCUUCAUCUGAUGAGGAAGAUGAGUCUACUGGGAAGGGGGACGGAAUUGCGGAUAAGAGGGUGGUAAAACCUACAGAGGCGACCUUGUCAGCCAUGUUCACCAAUGUGUCAAAAACCCGACGUUGUACAACGCUCGAGGCACGUUUGCUGCAGUUUGUAAAGCACUGGAAGGACCUGAAGGAUCCACUUAGCCCUGGUAUUGUGUUGAUAAAGUGUGGCCACAUGGAAGCCAACUAAAGGGAUUUCUUUGAAGUAGUGCACCAUAAAUCGCGGGUUUCUACUAAUUAUGUUAGAAUGGCCGGUGUGCUAAACACCAAGCAAUGGGCCACCAAAGACUUUGUGAACAAAAGCAAGCGUAUUUUGCUUGACCCGAGCUUUUCGAAUUGACUAUUGUUGAACGAAGGAAAAGAAGAACAUAUUGGUAACAAGUAUGGCAAAUUUCUUCUGAGCUUUAAGCUAUCGCAAAUUCGAGCGGUCUUUGUUCUAGUGCUUGAAGUUCCUAAGGAUUCCCCUAACGAGUCGCACUGGUGGUGCUUAGCAUUAGACAUGAAGGCUCGACAGUUGUGGAUGAUAGAUUCUAUGUACCCUGACUCGUUCACCACGCAUGCCAAAGAGUUUGAUCUUCUGGUUAGUGGUAUCGACGUCCUUUUGCAACUCUGUGACCCAGAAUGGAAGACUGGUCAGCUAAAUUCUUGGACGAGAUGCACUUUUGAGAUCUUAGAGCCAAGGGAUAAGUAAGCACUUGUUUCCUUACUCUGCCAAUAACUUUGAGCCUAGCUGACCAUUUUAAGCUCAUACUGUGGUGUUCUUAUGCUGGCAUGUAUUAAGUUCUUGGCCAGAAGAUUCACCACGAGGUUUAGUGUGGUAAGUGGUGUAUAUAUCUGUGUUUUGUGUUAAGAUCUCUGAAGUGGUUGGCUACAGUGUAUGUUCAUACAUUUACAGUGAAAGAUUUCUAAUGCUCGGGCAAAUUUGUUCUUGGACGACGUGUAGUGUGAAAUGAACGAGUUGAAACAUGGUAUGGGGGAUUUGAUUCCAGGUUCUAGGAAAACAACGCGAAAACUGUGAUGUGUUAUGUUAAUGGCCUGGGCGAUGGUGUAAUUAUUUUCUGUGGUUGAACUGUGGUGGCUGUAAGUACUGUGUAUUGAGCAUUUAAACACUUGGGUGUGGAGGUGGUCUGUCCACUCAGGGGUAACUAUUAGGUUGCUUUGGCUGUGGAGGUGGUUUGUCCACUCAUGGCUAAGUGUUUGAUAUGAUGUCUACAUUAGGUGUUUUGUUGCAUUUUGCAGAUUAUGCAGAAAUUGUGCUUUAAUUACAUGUUACAAUCUACAUGAACAGGGUAAUUUAAACUCAAUGUACAGUGCCAUAGGUACAAAAAAACAUGCCAGUGGGGUAUGCUACAUCUGCUACUGGUUAAAUCAAAAUGCCAUUGGGUGGAAUGGAUUUCCUAAUGGUACAUUGCAAGUGCCACUGGUAGAAUGUAAAUGAUAUUCUUACAAUUUAGUUCGCAAUGGUAUAGUACAAGUUCCAUAUGUCUUUGUAAUGGUACAUUAUGAAGGUGUGAUUUGUACCAUUGAUCUGUCAAUGUAUAAUAAUGCUAAGGAACGCCAAUA